rnacentral:rRNA from 1 species
AUGGCAUCUCACUACCUUAAGCCACAAGACCCAAACUUCCACAAUGUGCAUGAUAUCAUUAAGACAGAUAGAAGGGCUUAUCCGCAUCUCAAAGACUGCAUUGGUGCAAUUGAUGGGACUCAUAUAAGAGCUUCUAUUCCUGAAGGGCCUCCGAAAGUGAGGUACAUUGGAAGAACGGGCGCGACAACUCAGAAUGUGAUGGCGGUAUGUGACUUUGAUAUGCACUUUACUUAUGCUUCAAUUGGCCAACCUGGUUCUAUGCAUGAUACAAAUGUGCUAUACCAUGCAAUUGAGAAGGACAAGCCCUCCUUCCCCCAUCCUCCAAAGGACAAGUAUUACCUUGUAGAUGCCGGUUAUCCUAAUAGAGUUGGAUAUCUAGCACCAUACAAAGGAGAACGGUAUCAUGUCCCUGACUUUCAAAGAGGUGCACCUCCAAAUACUCCCAAGGAGAAGUUCAACAAGAUUCACUCCUCCAAACGAAAUUGCAUAGAGAGAACCUUUGGAGUGCGGAAGAUGAAAUGGCAAAUUCUCCUCAAGAUGCCAAACUACUCAUUUCAAACACAGAUGAAGAUAGUUGCAGCUACUAUGAAAUUGCACAACUAUGUUCGCCUCCAUGACAAAGAUGAUAUCCACUUUGUUCGAUGUGAAAGGGAUCCGAAUUAUGUUCCAACAAUUCCGGAUAGAUAUAAGAAGUAUGUUAUUCCUUCGAGUGCAUCAGAUGCUUCAACUUCGGAGGCAAGUACUCCUGACAUGGAUAGGUUUAGGAAUGAACUAGCUACCGCCAUUGCUCUUGGUUGGUGA